CCGGCUGGGGGAGCCCCACUCACCUCCCCACUCUCUGGGGGCUGCCCGGCUCUGCUGUGGCGGAGACACACAAUCGGGACAAAGGCACAGCCCCCAGGGGGCUAACUCAGCCUUCACGCCCAGGUUGUGCGGCAUUUGGGGAGUUUAAUGAAUUGUCCAUCACGCCUUUCAGGGCCCGCCCGUCAGCCUGGAUUAAUCUUCGGAGCCCUGGUGGGGUAGGAGACACUAAGCCUGUAUUUAUUACUCUCCCAUUGUCACUAAUUGAGGUAAUUAUCUGUGACUCUGGCCUGGCCAACAAUGAGGCAUUCACUCCUGGGACCUCGAUGGGCCUGGCUCCCACUCUCAGCACCAGCCCUCCCUCCCCUCCUCUUCCAAACCCGCCAAGGACUACGAUGGGCCCUGGAGCAUGUUGGGAAAGUGGACAGCGUCCCACAAUGCCUCACCUCCCCACCGGCGUCUCCCAUAGCCAUCACUACAGAGCUGUCUCCUGGUCCCCCCAGAGAAGGCACCGUCAAGUGAAUGGAUGAAUACAGAUGAAGCCGGCACUUGCUUUAAAACUGGGAUCUGUGAGCUAUUCUCUUCCACAGCUGCACUCAGGCUCCUCAUUCUCUCAGGACUUGCUGGAAGGAGAUGUCUAGACCAUCCCUGGACGCAUUUUCUGAGAGCCUGCUCCACGCCAAACUUGUCGGGUAUACAGAGCUAAAUCAGCUAAAUCACCUCCAGCAGCUCAUGGUCCAGCAGGGGAUUCCACAAGGUAACAAGACCAACGAGGUUACGAUCAAGCCGCAGGAAAAAAAAUUAUCCAGGUGUUGAGGAGGCACUAGAACAUUCCCAGCUCAAAAACUCCAUCAUUCACCUCUCCCUCAAUUCCUCUCACCGAAGUGCAAAUGGUUUAUCUUCAUUACCAAGAAACAGUCUGGGCAUGGUGGCUCACAGCUGUAAUCUCAGCACUUUGGGAGGCCGAGGCGGGCGGAUCACUUGAGAUCAGGAGUUCGAGACCAGCCUGGCCAACAUGGUGAAACCCGUCUCUACUAAAAAUACAAAUAAAAAAUUAGCCAAGAGUUAUGGCGCCCACCUGUAAUCCCAGCUACUCUGGAGGCUGAGGCAGGAGAAUCGCUUGAACCCAGGAACUGGAGCAGAGAUCACACCACUGCACUCUAGUCUGGGUGACAGAGUGAGACUCCAUAUCAAAAAAAAAAAAAAAAAAAAACCCAAAAAGCAAAAAAGACAAGAAAUACUUCAAGUUCUGGCUCCCACACAUCUUUCCAGGACUCACUCUUCUGCCCCACUGCAUUCCCUAAUGCCUCUGCUCCCUGUGAAAGCCACGUGUUUUCCUACCUCUCUGCAUUUUCCCACCUCUCUGCAUUUUCCCACAUCCUAGAAUGUCCCCCUUCCCUGUAUCCCACUGUUGGAACCCAUCUCAGAUGUUCCUUCCUCCAUGAAGACUCUUCUGAUUUCCCUUGGUAGAGUGGUCUUGCCUGUUCUAGCUCCUGAAGCACCAUGUAGGUAGGUGCUUUCAUUAGCAGCACAUACUGGGUGUCCCAUUGGUGGUUGUCUGUGUAUAUUACUCAUCCUCCUACUAGGCUAGCCCUUGCAGCACUGACCUGGGCAUAUCAUAUGCCUUUGUUAAAUGGUGAAUAGACGGAUACAUGAAUAAAUGGAUGCACGGACAGAGGAAUAAAUCGAUGGAAGUAUAAAUGGGGC
rnacentral:lncRNA from 1 species